rnacentral:tRNA from 1 species
GGGGGCUUAGCUCAGUCUGAUAGAGCGCUUGCACGGCAAGCAAGAGGUCGUCGGUUCGAUCCCGAUAGUCUCCA